GGGGAAGCCGGUGCGAGCCCGGCGCUGACCCGCAACCGUGAUCGGGCCGUUGCACCGGCGCGCGAGACCGCGCGUCGACGGCGACAGCCCGGAGCCGGAGUACCU
rnacentral:ncRNA from 2 species